GUAGGGAAUAUUGGACAAUGGGGGGAACCCUGAUCCAGCCAUGCCGCGUGGAGGAAGACUGCCCUCUGGGUUGUAAACUCCUUUUAUAUGGGAAGAACCGUCCUCAUUAAUGAGUGACCUGACGGUACCAUAGGAAUAAGCACCGGCUAACUCCGUGCCAGCAGCCGCGGUAAUACGGAGGGUGCAAGCGUUAGCCGGAUUCACUGGGUUUAAAGGGUGCGUAGGCGGAUAAAUAAGUCAGUGGUGAAAUCAACGGGCUCAACCUGUUAACUGCCAUUGAUACUGUGUAUCUUGAAUAUGAGAGAGGUAGGCGGAAUGUUGCAUGUAGCGGUGAAAUGCUUAGAUAUGCUACGGAACACCGAUUGCGAAGGCAGCUUACUAUUUCGUAAUUGACGCUGAGGCACGAAAGCGUGGGUAGCGAACAGGAUUAGAAACCCCAGUAGUCC
rnacentral:rRNA from 1 species